CGGGGUAUAGCGCAGAUGGUAGCGCGCGUGGUUUGGGACCAUGAGGCCGCGGGUUCAAAUCCUGCUAUCCCAGCCA
rnacentral:tRNA from 1 species